GGGAUGUAAAAAGUCGUAACAAGGUCUCCGUUGGUUGACCAGCGGAGGGA
rnacentral:rRNA from 1 species